UAGGGAAUCUUCUGCAAUGGACGAAAGUCUGACCGAGCAACGCCGCGCGAGUGAAGAAGGUUUUCGGAUCGUAAAACUCUGUUGUUAGAGAAGAACAAGGACGUUAGUAACUGAACGUCCCCUGACGGUAUCUAACCAGAAAGCCACGGCUAACUACGUGCCAGCAGCCGCGGUAAUACGUAGGUGGCAAGCGUUGUCCGGAUUUAUUGGGCGUAAAGCGAGCGCAGGCGGUUUCUUAAGUCUGAUGUGAAAGCCCCCGGCUCAAACGGGGAGGGUGAGUGGAAACUGGGAGACGUGAGUGCAGAAGAGGAGAGUGGAAUUCCAUGUGUAGCGGUGAAAUGCGUAGAUAUAUGGAGGAACACCAGUGGCGAAGGCGGCUCUCUGGUCUGUAACUGACGCUGAGGCGCGAAAGCGUGGGGAGCAAACAGG
rnacentral:rRNA from 1 species